AGGGCUUCGCAGGCGGUUUUUUAAGUCUGAAGGUGAAAGCCCCCGGCUUCAACCGGGGAGGGUCAUUGGAAACUGGGGAACUUGAGUGCAGAAGAGGAGAGUGGAAUUCCACGUGUAGCGGUGAAAUGCGUAGAGAUGUGGAGGAACACCAGUGGCGAAGGCGACUCUCUGGUCUGUAACUGACGCUGAGGAGCGAAAGCGUGGGGAGCGAACAGGAUUAGAUACCCUGGUAGUCCACGCCGUAAACGAUGAGUGCUAAGUGUUAGGGGGUUUCCGCCCCUUAGUGCUGCAGCUAACGCAUUAAGCACUCCGCCUGGGGAGUACGGUCGCAAGACUGAAACUCAAAGGAAUUGACGGGGGCCCGCACAAGCGGUGGAGCAUGUGGUUUAAUUCGAAGCAACGCGAAGAACCUUACCAGGUCUUGACAUCCUCUGACGAUCCUAGAGAUAGGACGUCCCCUUCGGGGGCAGAGUGACAGGUGGUGCAUGGUUGUCGUCAGCUCGUGUCGUGAGAUGUUGGGUUAAGUCCCGCAACGAGCGCAACCCUUGAUCUUAGUUGCCAGCAUUCAGUUGGGCACUCUAAGGUGACUGCCGGUGACAAACCGGAGGAAGGUGGGGAUGACGUCAAAUCAUCAUGCCCCUUAUGACCUGGGCUACACACGUGCUACAAUGGACAGAACAAAGGGCAGCGAAACCGCGAGGUUAAGCCAAUCCCACAAAUCUGUUCUCAGUUCGGAUCGCAGUCUGCAACUCGACUGCGUGAAGCUGGAAUCGCUAGUAAUCGCGGAU
rnacentral:rRNA from 1 species